rnacentral:rRNA from 1 species
GACGAACGCUGGCGGCGUGGAUUAGGCAUGCAAGUCGAACGGUAUCAUCCUUUCGGGGGUGAGAGAGUGGCGAACUGGUGAGUAACACGUAGGUUAUCUACCCUCAAGACGGGGACAACCCAGGGAAACUUGGGCUAAUACCGGAUGUGAGCAACUUUUAGUUGUUUGAAAGGUGGCGUAAGCUGUCGCUUGGGGAUGAGCCUGCGUCCUAUUAGUUAGUUGGUGAGGUAACGGCUCACCUAGGCAAUGAUAGGUAGGCGGCCUUAACGGGUGGUCGCCCACACUGGGAUUGAGAUACGGCCCAGACUCCUAGGGAGGCAGCAGUCGAGAAUAGUCUACAAUGGUCGGAAGACUGAUAGUGCGACGCCGCGUGAACGAUGAAUCCCUUCGGGGGUUAAAGUUCUUUUAAUGUGAGCAGUGCUUCUUAUAUUAACAGUAUGGGGAGAGAGAUAUUAGCAUAUGAAUAAGCAACGGCUAACUACGUGCCAGCAGCCGGGU